AUUGAACGCUGGCGGCAGGCCUAACACAUGCAAGUCGAACGAGUGGCGGACGGGUGAGUAAUGUCUGGGAAACUGCCUGAUGGAGGGGGAUAACUACUGGAAACGGUAGCUAAUACCGCAUCCCAUCGGAUGUGCCCAGAGGGGAUUAGCUAGUCGGUGGGGUAAAGGCUAACCUAGGCGACGAUCCCUAGCUGGUCUGAGAGGAUGACAAGCCACACGGGAACUGAGACACGGUCCAUACUCCUAAGGGAGGCAGCAGUGGGGAAUAUUGCACAAUUGGCGCAAGCCUGAUGCAGCCAGGCCGCGUGUAUGAAGAAGGCCUUCGGGUUGUAAAGUACUUUCAGCGUGGAGGCGUUACCCGCAGAAGAAGCACCGGCUAACUCCGUGCCAGCAGCCGCGGUAAUUC
rnacentral:rRNA from 1 species